CGCGCAGGCGGGUCAAUAAGUCAGAGGUGAAAUCCUACAGCUCAACUGUAGAACUGCCUUUGAUACUGUUGAUCUUGAGUAUGGAAGAGAGAGACGGAAUUCCAGGUGUAGUGGUGAAAUACGUAGAUAUCUGGAAGAACACCAGUUGCGAAGGCGGUCUCUUGGUCCAAUACUGACGCUGAGGCGCGAAAGCGUGGGUAGCAAACA
rnacentral:rRNA from 1 species